CAGUCUCAGUUCAGAUUGUAGGCUGAAACUCGCCUAUAUGAAGUCGGAAUUGCUAGUAAUCGCGGAUCAGCAUGCCGCGGUGAAUACGUUCCCGGGCCUUGUACACACCGCCCGUCACACCAUGAGAGUCGAUAACACCCGAAGCCUGUAGUCUAACAGCAAUGAGGACGCAGUCGAAGGUGGGAUUGAUAAUUAGGGUGAAGUCGUAACAAGGUAUC
rnacentral:rRNA from 1 species